CGCGGGUUUUCAUUAUCACCAUAACAUCCUUACGAAAAUUUCUGUUAUCCAAAAGUUGUAAUGUUUCUUUACAAGUGAAUUGUUCCAAAGGAUUCCAUACCAUCUCCAUCUCUACAGUUUUGGAUCGGGGUAUAACGAUUUCGUCCCAACUAAUUGAAACAUUGUAUUCCUCGCUUAUUGGCUUUAUAACACGGACCUAUUGAAGUGAACUUAAAUUUUUAGCUCGUACAAGUGCUACAGAGGGGAAAUCGAUUUAAUUUCAUACUGGUUGCCACUCAACGCAAAUAUGUGGGAAUUCGGUUAAUAUGCGGAAAAGCAGCUCGCAUACCUCUAUAUUAUCCUCAGAGGGGUUGACUAUACGUAAAAUACGUCGCGCCGUCUUUCCAACUGGCACAUCUUCGAACGUUACAAUGGAUUUGGCGGAGAAUGGCGCCAUUACAACGUCGGUAGGCUCGCGAGAUUCUAUUCGCUUCUUGCAUUUUGGGUGUGUCGGAGUAAGCACCACCUAGACCGAAGAAAGUAU